CAGCCGCCACGGGAAUACGAAGGGUGCAAGCGUUACUCGGAAUUACUGGGCGUAAAGCGUGCGUAGGUGGUGGUUUAAGUCCGUUGUGAAAGCCCUGGGCUCAACCUGGGAAUUGCAGUGGAUACUGGGUCACUAGAGUGUGGUAGAGGACAGUGGAAUUUCCGGUGUAGCAGUGAAAUGCGUAGAGAUCGGAAGGAACAUCUGUGGCGAAGGCGACUAUCUGGGCCAACACUGACACUGAGGCACGAAAGCGUGGGGAGCAAACAGGAUUAGAUACCCGCGUAGUCCCUGUCUCUUAUAC
rnacentral:rRNA from 1 species